rnacentral:rRNA from 1 species
AAUGAACGUUGGCGGCGUGGAUUAGGCAUGCAAGUCGAGCGCGAACCCCGCAAGGGGGGAGAGCGGCAAACGGGGUAGUAACGGGUAGGUGACGUACCCUCGGGUUGGGGAUAGCCACGGGAAACUGUGGGUAAUACCCAAUAAUCUCUUCACACGUGAUUGUGUGGAGAGCAAAGGUGUGAUUCCACCGGAGGAGCGGCCUGCCUCGUAUUAGCUGGUUGGUGAGGUAACGGCUCACCAAGGCAUCGAUGCGUAGGGGGUGUGAGAGCAUGACCCCCACCACUGGGACUGAGAUACUGCCCAGACACCUACGGGUGGCUGCAGUCGAGAAUCUUCGGCAAUGGGCGCAAGCCUGACCGAGCGACGCCGCGUGUGGGAUGAAGGCCCUUGGGUUGUAAACCACUGUCAGAGGGGAUGAAGUGCCAGAGAGUUAUCUCUCUGGUUUGACAUAGCCUCAGAGGAAGCACGGGCUAAGUUCGUGCCAGCAGCCGCGGUAAUACGAACUGUGCAAACGUUAUUCGGAAUCACUGGGCUUACAGGGUGCGUAGGCGGCCUGUUAAGUAGGGUGUGAAAGCCCCCGGCUCAACCGGGGAAUGGCGCCCUAAACUGGCGGGCUGGAGUGAGAUAGGGGUGUGCGGAACUUCCGGUGGAGCGGUGAAAUGUGUUGAUAUCGGAAGGAACGCCGGUGGCGAAAGCGGCACACUGGAUCUCAACUGACGCUGAGGCACGAAAGCCAGGGGAGCGAACGGGAUUAGAUACCCCGGUAGUCCUGGCUGUAAACGAUGAGCACUAGCUGGGAGGGACGUAGGUCCUUCCCAACGGAGCGAAAGUGUUAAGUGCUCCGCCUGGGGAGUAUGGUCGCAAGGCUGA